GACGAACGCUGGCGGCGUGCUUUACACAUGCAAGUCGAACGGUGAAGGUGGAGCUUGCUCCGCCGGAUCAGUGGCGAACGGGUGAGUAACACGUGGGCAACCUGCCCCUAACUUUGGGAUAACUACUCGACAGAGUAGCUAAUACCGGAUACGAAGUCUGUAGGCAUCUACGGAUUUGGAAAGUUUUUCGGUUAGGGAUGGGCCCGCGGCCUAUCAGCUUGUUGGUGGGGUAGUGGCUCACCAAGGCGACGACGGGUAGCCGGCCUGAGAGGGCGACCGGCCACAAUGGGACUGAGACACGGCCCAGACUCCUACGGGAGGCAGCAGUGGGGAAUACUGCACAAUGGGCGCAAGCCUGAUGCAGCGACGCCGCGUGAGGGAUGACGGCCUUCGGGUUGUAAACCUCUUUCAGCACCGACGAAGCGCAAGUGACGGUAGGUGCAGAAGAAGGACCGGCCAACUACGUGCCAGCAGCCGCGGUAA
rnacentral:rRNA from 1 species